CAUCCUCUCGCAGGCUAUUGCAGUACGUUCCCCGACAGCCUGAGGCUGUCGCCUUUGUCUGGCCAUUGCCCCAUUCUUAACUAUUCUCCCGUGUUGUCUCGUGGAUGUGUCCAUUCAUGCAGUCUCGAUGAUGCAUGCUUAGUUGCAAGCGUUCGGGGCCUUCUGGAGCCGCCGAUCCUCACGGGUGCGGCGUCCCUUCAUGGGGAGUGAAGGCAGAAACUGUUGUCGCCUGUGUGGGAGAGUGAGGCUGCAUAGCUCCCGUUCACGCCUUGGCCUUGGAACAGGUGGUCUUCAACUUUUUGGGAAUGAUACGCGGAACUGACGGGAUUCAAAGAAGACGUACAUGCGGGCCAGAUCAAUUUCUUAGACAUCUGGAAGAAGCUCACUGCGGAGAAUCUCUGUCUCUUUGCCGCACAUCGUGUUCCGACAGCUUCCCAUCACCGACAGGAUAAACCCUACGGAGGAAUCGCCGACGCCCAACUGUUUGUUUUGGAUUGGUCUUUCUGUGAACUUCCCCAGAUUGAAACGGACAACGUAAGUGCAAACGGAGCAGGAAAUCCAAAUAGGGAAUGAGGGACCAGUGCUGCUGCCAAGAGCCUCCGCAGGCGACAGGCGACCUCGAGCGUACAAAGGCUGUUGCCUCGCGGAAUCUGGGAUUCUUCUCCGCCCGCCGUCGCUCAUCGGCCCCCGGCCCUUUUCGCCUGUCACCUUCGUCUUCAGUUUAAGCCCCAAGUACGCGGAGCACGGAAAACAAAGAGGCGCGUGCGAGCCUUCGUCUGUCUUUGCAAAAACACUUCGCCGGCGGUUCGGACGAAACAGUGCUACGGCACACACGCGUAGCAAGGGAUGGCGGGGGGAGAAGUCGUCGAGGACAGAGACACAUGCGUGGCAGGCUUCCUGGGCGUACACCGCUGCGCUGAAGGACGGCAGCAUUUCGCCCCAGGGGUUGGCUUCUUCAUGCUGCAACCCGUCACUGAACAGGGUGGUGACAAGCUGCUCCAGUAACUGCGUGCAGCGAACAAACACGACGUGCAUAUUCAGGCUGGGAUGAAUGGCGACUGCACGCGGUCCGUUCUGAGCUCCGGUGCGGCUCAACGAAAGGGAGACGAGUUUCCCCGACAAGCCCGAAGGUGUGAGCAGGCUGUUGGACCAGGGUCGUGCUUGCCGCGUGCGGAGAGGGAACGUGGAAAACCCAUUUUUUUGAAGACUCCAGUCAGGGCUAUUGUGCGCUUCGUUUACCAAUCAUUUCCAGCUGAAAAAGCUCGUAGGUUCUACCAAAAGCAGACCGCUGUCGGGCAGUGCGGCGUGGCAGCUCGAACGACACAUCUCAUGUGGCGGCGUUUCAACGACGUUUGAGGUGUCCGCCGGAGUGUCCACGCGUUCGCAGAGGCGGCCUCAAAUGCAUGUGCAGGCAAACACAAACAUACCUUCGUGCACACAUCCAUCUGUCUCUGUGCUCUUGUACGCAUAUCGUGUUAUGGUACUUCCAUAAACUCAGUGACCGUGUGGAAUGGACGUCUAGACGUGGAAAGAAGCAAACCGCGUGUGGUGAGGCGCGAGCUGUGGUAGGUGUGAACGCGAAUAAAGAGACGUCAGUGCCGUUUUUUACCGUUUGCGUGCACCUCAGUACAGACUAUGCACUUUUGACAAGCAAGAAGGGAGCGCCCGACGCCGUGCAUCAUGCGUCCGAUUCUCGUGGGUGGUUCGGUGCA
rnacentral:lncRNA from 1 species